rnacentral:rRNA from 1 species
AAAUUGAAGAGUUUGAUCAUGGCUCAGAUUGAACGCUGGCGGCAGGCCUAACACAUGCAAGUCGAACGGUAACAGAAAGCAGCUUGCUGCUUUGCUGACGAGUGGCGGACGGGUGAGUAAUGUCUGGGAAACUGCCUGAUGGAGGGGGAUAACUACUGGAAACGGUAGCUAAUACCGCAUAAUGUCGCAAGACCAAAGAGGGGGACCUUCGGGCCUCUUGCCAUCGGAUGUGCCCAGAUGGGAUUAGCUAGUAGGUGGGGUAACGGCUCACCUAGGCGACGAUCCCUAGCUGGUCUGAGAGGAUGACCAGCCACACUGGAACUGAGACACGGUCCAGACUCCUACGGGAGGCAGCAGUGGGGAAUAUUGCACAAUGGGCGCAAGCCUGAUGCAGCCAUGCCGCGUGUAUGAAGAAGG